GAUAUAUUUUAAUUUAGUUUUAUUUUCUAGUUGGCAGCUUUUGUUUUGAGCAUGUUGAUUUAAAGAUGGCGGCGCCCAUCAGUCCUGCUUUGAGAGAGACAAUUUAGGACUGGAAGAUGCAAUGUGGAAAUUUCUUUUGGUUAUAUCCCUUUGACCAAACAAACAAAAAAAAAAUUCAAGACAACCCCAAACAGGAUACGAAUUCAUGAUAAUGGACCAAAUGGACUACGAAAUUGUUAAAAAAAUAAAGCAAAACCAAACAAAAAAAAAAAAAACACUAUCUCAAUAUGGACACGAUUGAUUUAUAGAAUAUUCUUUAACUAAUAAAUUUAUUCAGAAAAUGAGUUAUAUUCAAAUUUGAAAAAUUUUUAAGCUCUUCAUGCACAUACUUACUUUGUACAUUUUUGUAACUCUAGCAGACCCCAGAGAAUUCGUAAUGAUGUGAUAUAGGAUGGAGGUCUUUUGUCUGAGGUUCUUAAGGGAAAAAUUGUUGCAAAAAAUAAUAAUAAUAAUAAUAAUAAAAAUGAAUUUAAAUAACUCACAAGUCUUAAAAAAAAAAAAAAAAAAGGUCCUCAUUUUAUAGACCCUUGCUGUCAUCAUUUUAUGGACCCUUGCUGUCAUCAUUUUGUGGACCUUUUUCUGUCCUCAUUUUGUAGACCUUUGCUGUUCUCAUUUUGUAGACCUUUGCUGUCAUCAUUUUAUUGAACUUUGCUGUCAUCAUUUUAUUGAACUUUGCUGUCAUCAUUUUAUUGAACUUUGCUGUCAUCAUUGUAUGGACCUGUGCUGUCAUCAUAUUGUGGACCUUUGCUGUCCUCAUUUUGUUGACCUUUGCUGUCAUCAUUCUGUAGACCUUUGCUGUCAUCAUUUUAUGGACCGCUGAUGUCAUCGCUUUAUGGACCUUUGCUGUCAUCAUUUUAUGGACCUUUGCUGUCAUCAUAUUGUGGACCUUUGCUGUCCUCAUUUUGUUGACCUUUGCUGUCAUCAUUCUGUAGACCUUUGCUGUCAUCAUUUUAUGGACCUUUGCUGCAGCAUACUCUACGAUCAUGCCGGAAAUCCUGGAAUGUGUUUUUGAAACUAUUUCCUUCAUAAAAAUGUUGUUGUUAUGAAAUAUUCUUUGUAUUAUUACUAAUAUAAAUUAAUAUGUAAUGUGUUUUCUUUAAAAAGUCUACUCGAUGUCCAUGAUGAAAAUCAUGAAUUGUGCUUUUGAAACUAUGCCUUCACAAAAUUUUGUUUUUAUUAAAUAUUCUUUGUAUUAUUAUUGAUAUAAAAUAAUAUAUUAUGUCUU